UACGUAGGGGGCAAGCGUUGUCCGGAAUCAUUGGGCGUAAAGCGCGUGUAGGCGGCUAGGUAAGUCUGCUCUGAAAGCCCGGGGCUCAACCCCGGGAGGCGGGUGGAUACUGUCUAGCUCGAGUCCGGAAGAGGAGUGUGGAAUUCCUGGUGUAGCGGUGAAAUGCGCAGAUAUCGGAAGGAACAUCAGUGGCGAAAGCGGCUUCCUGGACCAGAACUGACGAUCAGGCUCGAAAGCGUGGGGAGCAAACAGG
rnacentral:rRNA from 1 species